rnacentral:rRNA from 1 species
CAAUAGCGUAUAUUAAAGUUGUUGCAGUUAAAAAGCUCGUAGUUGAAUUUUUGCUUGCCGCCGAUGUCGGAACUUCCGUACGUUCGGCGGCGUGCAUCCUUGGGUGGAACCUGUGUGGCAUUAGGUUGUCGUGCAGGGGAUGCUCAUCGUUUACUGUGAAAAAAUUAGAGUGUUCAAAGCAGGCUUACGCCGUUGAAUAUAUUAGCAUGGAAUAAUAAGAUAGGACUUUGGUGCUAUUUUGUUGGUUGAGCCUAAAGUAAUGAUUAAUAGGGAUAGUUGGGGGCACCUGUAUUGCGUUGUCAGAGGUGAAAUUCUUGGAUUUACGCAAGACAAACAGCUGCGAAAGCGUCUGCCAAGGAUGUUUUCAUUAA